UGCAUCAAAUUUUUAACCGUCACUAAUCACUAUACUGAGUCUAUAUGUCUCACUCUUUCUCAUUUACAGAUUUAUUUCCUAUUUCUUCCACCCUAUUAUUAUUCACGCUCGUUUGAUAUGAGAAGAGAAGAGAUGAGAAAGUAUCAUCACAGCGUAGCCUUCACCACACUGCAGUUCGCGUUCGCCGAUCGCCGUCGCCCUUCUCUUCCCCUCUUUUAGGAGUAUGAAGCCUAAUCUAUUCUGUUCUUUUCACAUUCUGCAGUGAAAUCGCGCGAUCAUUCUAAUUCAGAGCUCUCGCAACAGAGCAACCAAAAACUUUCGUGGAUUUCGAAUCAAUCACUCAGGCCAUGAAUGAGUAUGAGGAUUCCAACGAAGAUGCUGUAGUUCGCUGGUAUUGAGGAUGUGUUUACUUCAUCAAGAGGAUCCACUAAGAUACUUGGAAAUUUUGACAAGGUUUCAAAUUCUGUUCAGAUUAAUUUUUUUCUUCUAGAUUGUUUAAUUUUAUAAUCUCCCAUUGAUAUAUUUAUUCUGAGUAUUGAAAAAGCAAGAAUAACAUUAUGCUGAAUCUAUAUAUAUAGCUGAGGGGGCUCAUAACAAUAGUAAAGUUAUGUGUUACUCUUAACUUGGAUGAAAGUUGAAUGUGAUGAAUGAGUAUAAAUUUUUUAUGGCAAUUAUUUGUAA